rnacentral:lncRNA from 1 species
CUGGCCUGGGGCUCGGACUUGGGGCCGGAGCCGCGGGAGCCGGCGGACGCUGGACCAGGAGCCCCGACGUGAUCGCGUGGCGGGUGGUCGGGUCUCCGGGUGGCCGGGUGUCGGCCCCGGGAUCCGGCGGCUCGCUGGCGGGAGUCGGCGGCCUCUGCUGGGCCUGGGUCCCGGCUCCCGGCCCGGCCCGCUCCCACUGCGGCCGCCAUGUGGUGCCUGCACUGCAACUCGGAGAGGACCCAGUCCCUUCUGGAGCUAGAGCUUGACAGCGGGUACCUGCAGCUUCACUGCUCCUUGGAGGAAAUGCCCAUUCUUUCCGUUUUAUCUCCUCGGUUUGCAGUUUCCUGACAUGGUGACAGUUUGAUUUGAACUUAAGGUCCCGAUGGAGAACCAUAGCGAGCGUCCUCUCCCUGUUUCUAAAGAUGAGACACUGUGACUGCAUUUGUUUUUUCCUCUUUGUUCAAAGCUCAGUAGUAAUAGUAAUAGCAACAGUUGCCAUUUAGUGCUAAAGUUGCUAGAGUGCUAGAGUUAGCGUUUGAACUCCGCCUGCCUGGCUUCAGGGUCUGUGUACUUCAUGGCCAGGCUCUGCUUCCUCUGGGAUUAAAUAAUCUUUGGCAAAAUAUGUCACCACCAUGAAUGGAACCUUUUGCUUCUUCCCUAUACUGCCACAACAGAUGUCUGGUAUCCCCAGGUAUCAGGAUUCCCAACAUGUUCUCAGAAGUCUCAGCCCACAAGCUGG